UACGUAGGGGGCUAGCGUUGUCCGGAAUCAUUGGGCGUAAAGCGCGCGUAGGCGGCCCGGUAAGUCAGGUGUGAAACCUCCAGGCUCAACCUGGAGACGCCACUUGAUACUGCUGUGACUGGAGUCCGGUAGGGGAGCGUGGAAUUCCUGGUGUAGCGGUGAAAUGCGCAGAUAUCAGGAGGAACACCAGCGGCGAAGGCGGCGCUCUGGGCCGGUACUGACACUGAGGAGCGAAAGCGUGGGUAGCAAACAGG
rnacentral:rRNA from 1 species